rnacentral:rRNA from 1 species
UACGUAGGGGGCUAGCGUUGUCCGGAAUCAUUGGGCGUAAAGCGCGUGUAGGCGGUCCGGUAAGUCCGCUGUGAAAGUCGAGGGCUCAACCCUCGAAUGCCGGUGGAUACUGUCGGGCUAGAGUGCGGAAGAGGCGAGUGGAAUUCCUGGUGUAGCGGUGAAAUGCGCAGAUAUCAGGAGGAACACCGGUGGCGAAGGCGGGUCUCUGGGCCGAUACUGACGCUGAGGAGCGAAAGCGUGGGGAGCGAACAGG